UUAAGCGACUAAGCGUACACGGUGGAUGCCCUGGCAGUCAGAGGCGAUGAAGGACGUGCUAAUCUGCGAUAAGCGUCGGUGAGGUGAUAUGAACCGUUAUAACCGGCGAUUUCCGAAUGGGGAAACCCAGUGUGUUUCGACACACUAUCAUUAACUGAAUCCAUAGGUUAAUGAGGCGAACCGGGGGAACUGAAACAUCUAAGUACCCCGAGGAAAAGAAAUCAACCGAGAUUCCCCCAGUAGCGGCGAGCGAACGGGGAGGAGCCCAGAGCCUGAAUCAGUGUGUGUGUUAGUGGAAGCGUCUGGAAAGGCGCGCGAUACAGGGUGACAGCCCCGUACACAAAAAUGCACAUAUUGUGAGCUCGAUGAGUAGGGCGGGACACGUGGUAUCCUGUCUGAAUAUGGGGGGACCAUCCUCCAAGGCUAAAUACUCCUGACUGACCGAUAGUGAACCAGUACCGUGAGGGAAAGGCGAAAAGAACCCCGGCGAGGGGAGUGAAAAAGAACCUGAAACCGUGUACGUACAAGCAGUGGGAGCCUCUUUAUGGGGUGACUGCGUACCUUUUGUAUAAUGGGUCAGCGACUUAUAUUCUGUAGCAAGGUUAACCGAAUAGGGGAGCCGAAGGGAAACCGAGUCUUAACUGGGCGUUAAGUUGCAGGGUAUAGACCCGAAACCCGGUGAUCUAGCCAUGGGCAGGUUGAAGGUUGGGUAACACUAACUGGAGGACCGAACCGACUAAUGUUGAAAAAUUAGCGGAUGACUUGUGGCUGGGGGUGAAAGGCCAAUCAAACCGGGAGAUAGCUGGUUCUCCCCGAAAGCUAUUUAGGUAGCGCCUCGUGAAUUCAUCUCCGGGGGUAGAGCACUGUUUCGGCAAGGGGGUCAUCCCGACUUACCAACCCGAUGCAAACUGCGAAUACCGGAGAAUGUUAUCACGGGAGACACACGGCGGGUGCUAACGUCCGUCGUGAAGAGGGAAACAACCCAGACCGCCAGCUAAGGUCCCAAAGUCAUGGUUAAGUGGGAAACGAUGUGGGAAGGCCCAGACAGCCAGGAUGUUGGCUUAGAAGCAGCCAUCAUUUAAAGAAAGCGUAAUAGCUCACUGGUCGAGUCGGCCUGCGCGGAAGAUGUAACGGGGCUAAACCAUGCACCGAAGCUGCGGCAGCGACACUAUGUGUUGUUGGGUAGGGGAGCGUUCUGUAAGCCUGUGAAGGUGGCCUGUGAGGGUUGCUGGAGGUAUCAGAAGUGCGAAUGCUGACAUAAGUAACGAUAAAGCGGGUGAAAAGCCCGCUCGCCGGAAGACCAAGGGUUCCUGUCCAACGUUAAUCGGGGCAGGGUGAGUCGACCCCUAAGGCGAGGCCGAAAGGCGUAGUCGAUGGGAAACAGGUUAAUAUUCCUGUACUUGGUGUUACUGCGAAGGGGGGACGGAGAAGGCUAUGUUGGCCGGGCGACGGUUGUCCCGGUUUAAGCGUGUAGGCUGGUUUUCCAGGCAAAUCCGGAAAACCAAGGCUGAGGCGUGAUGACGAGGCACUACGGUGCUGAAGCGACAAAUGCCCUGCUUCCAGGAAAAGCCUCUAAGCAUCAGGUAACAUCAAAUCGUACCCCAAACCGACACAGGUGGUCAGGUAGAGAAUACCAAGGCGCUUGAGAGAACUCGGGUGAAGGAACUAGGCAAAAUGGUGCCGUAACUUCGGGAGAAGGCACGCUGAUAUGUAGGUGAAGCGACUUGCUCGUGGAGCUGAAAUCAGUCGAAGAUACCAGCUGGCUGCAACUGUUUAUUAAAAACACAGCACUGUGCAAACACGAAAGUGGACGUAUACGGUGUGACGCCUGCCCGGUGCCGGAAGGUUAAUUGAUGGGGUUAGCGGUAACGCGAAGCUCUUGAUCGAAGCCCCGGUAAACGGCGGCCGUAACUAUAACGGUCCUAAGGUAGCGAAAUUCCUUGUCGGGUAAGUUCCGACCUGCACG
rnacentral:rRNA from 1 species